ACAACCACUAACGGUGGAUCCCUCGGCUCGGAGUUCGAUGAAGAACGUGGCAAAAUGCGAUAAUUGAUGCGAUAUGCAAGCCUAGUGAGUCAUCGAGUUUUUGAAUGCAAAUGGCACCGCUGAUUCGUUCAGUGGUAUAUCUGGUUGAGGGUUGUUUCUAGAUAUACAAUCUAGGUGAU
rnacentral:rRNA from 1 species